GAGCCUCCCACUGAGGAUCAUCUUCUGCAGAAUACUUUGUGGCCUGAAGUUCAAAAACUAUAUGGGCAUGGUUAUGAAAUAUUUUGUGUUACUUGUAACAGUUCAAAGACUCUGCUUGCCUCAGCUUGUAAGGCAGCUAAGAAAGAGCAUGCAGCUAUCAUUCUUUGGAACACUACAUCUUGGAAACAGGUGCAGAAUUUAGUUUUCCACAGUUUGACAGUCACGCAGAUGGCCUUCUCACCUAAUGAGAAGUUCUUACUAGCUGUUUCCAGAGAUCGAACCUGGUCAUUGUGGAAAAAGCAGGAUACAAUCUCACCUGAGUUCGGUAAAACAGCUUCUGAUUGGGAAAGUUAUUAGUGAAACAGUUAUGUCCAUUUUAUCUACAUUAAGCAGCUUUAGUUAAGAGAAAGAUAACAGAGUGAAGGGUAGAGCCUCAUGUCUUUGAAGCCUUUCAAAGUUCUUGGAUAACUGAGGAAGACUUGACCUUCCUUGUAAGAUUUAAAUGGAGAUGAUCUUUAUUUGGGUUGACCUACUUGUGAUUAUGUAGUCAAGAUGGCAUGCGUUCAGAUAUCUCAGUUCAAGAAACAUAAACAUCUGUAUGUAGGAAGUUAGGUUUUGCAAAUCGUGAUAGAAUGCUACCACAAAACCUAAUGGAUAACUUAUCCUAAGCUAGGAUUUUAUGGGACAGGAAUAAUGAAGAUACAACUAAGAAAACUCAUGGUUGAGUGGUUUCUUCUCUCUGAACUAUUUUAUUAAUAUAGUACUAUUUUAAAUUAUGAAAUGUAGAGGAAACCAUUAUCCUUAGCUUUUUCCUACCCUCUCCAGUCACCUCCUUCAUUGAGAAGGGCAUAUUAGGCAUCCGUCUGGAUAACAUGACCCCUGAG
rnacentral:sRNA from 1 species